CCGCUCAAAAGCAGUUCAUCAGGAAAACUUAGCUGAGAGUCCCAGUCAGAGCUCAUUCGUACAGGAACUUUGCAGGAAUCAGUAUCAAAGAACUUGUGGAUCAGUUCGCUAAGUACAUCCAAGAUUUGAAGAACUGAAAAAAAAAAAUUAGUAUUAAACCUGCUUUUUAAAAACCUGUUCUUCCUCCUUGCCUU